rnacentral:lncRNA from 1 species
CUGUAGCAGCUUCCGCAAUAAACGAGACUUGAUCAGAAACCUGUCUUGUCUCCAUCUCUCGUGUCCCCUGUCCUUUGUCAUUCUCACUCCCCCUCUAGGGUCUCCGUUGACUUACCGGCGGGACGGGACAAGUGGCGCCCAACGUGGGGCCCGAGAACGGGGGAUCCAGUGAAGAACGCUGCUCGGGGGCCCAAUAAAAUAGAAAAAAGAGGAUUGCGUUUGACGUGAACCUGCCGUCUUUCCUGCACCUCGACAACCUGGACUCUGAUUGAGCACUGUACUACUGUAAACUACUGCAUUGUACGUGAAAAUUCUCCUAGGCCAUUGAAGAAGUAAAUGACUACAAGGGAC